rnacentral:rRNA from 1 species
UACGUAGGGGGCAAGCGUUGUCCGGAAUUACUGGGCGUAAAGAGCUCGUAGGCGGUUUGUCGCGUUGUUCGUGAAAACUCACAACUCAAUUGUGGGCGUGCGGGCGAUACGGGCAGACUGGAGUACUGCAGGGGAGACUGGAAUUCCUGGUGUAGCGGUGGAAUGCGCAGAUAUCAGGAGGAACACCGGUGGCGAAGGCGGGUCUCUGGGCAGUAACUGACGCUGAGGAGCGAAAGCGUGGGGAGCGAACAGG